rnacentral:tmRNA from 1 species
GGGCCUGUUUAGGAUUUGAUUGCAGGCGGAGUUUGACGGACGCACGUCGGAGGCUCGGCUCCGUAACAACGGAACUCAAUUUAAAUGCUGACAAGACUGAAAGAAGGUCGGCUGUCGCUCGUCGCGCUUCGGCGCGCCGUGUGGCGCUUGCGGCUUAACUGAUUUAAGCCCCGUCCCAUCCCGAUUGCCUACGGUCGGGAAUGGGGCGUCAAAAAAGUAGGGAACCUACUUCGGGGGAAAACUUCCGCCCCUGAAGAGGAUUAUAGGGAAGUAUGCCCAAGGAGCAGGUUGUCUGUGAACUGCCCGCGGGCGAGAUCUGAUCACAGACUAAGCGUGUAGUGUCCGCAGACAAACCCUGUAAGACCGCGGUUCGAUUCCGCGCAGGUCCACCA